GUCCCUGUAGCGCAAUGGAUAGCGUGUUGGACUUCUACUCCAAAGAUCGUGGGUGCAAAUCUCACCUGGGAUG